rnacentral:rRNA from 1 species
AUUGAACGCUGGCGGCAUGCCUUACACAUGCAAGUCGAACGGCAGCACGGGUGCUUGCACCUGGUGGCGAGUGGCGAACGGGUGAGUAAUACAUCGGAACAUGUCCUGUAGUGGGGGAUAGCCCGGCGAAAGCCGGAUUAAUACCGCAUACGAUCUACGGAUGAAAGCGGGGGACCUUCGGGCCUCGCGCUAUCGGGUUGGCCGAUGGCUGAUUAGCUAGUUGGUGGGGUAAAGGCCUACCAAGGCGACGAUCAGUAGCUGGUCUGAGAGGACGACCAGCCACACGGGGACGGAGACACGGCCCAGACUCCUACGGGAGGCAGCAGUGGGGAAUUUUGGACAAUGGGCGAAAGCCUGAUCCAGCAAUGCCGCGUGUGUGAAGAAGGCCUUCGGGUUGUAAAGCACUUUUGUCCGGAAAGAAAUCCUUGGCCCUAAUACGGUCGGGGGAUGACGGUACCGGAAGAAUAAGCACCGGCUAACUACGUG